rnacentral:rRNA from 1 species
UACGAGGGGGGCAAGCGUUGUUCGGAAUUAUUGGGCGUAAAGGGCGCGUAGGCGGUGCGGUAAGUCACCUGUGAAACCUCUAGGCUUAACCUAGAGCCUGCAGGCGAAACUGCCGUGCUUGAGGGUGGGAGAGGUGCGUGGAAUUCCCGGUGUAGCGGUGAAAUGCGUAGAUAUCUGGAGGAACACCGGUGGCGAAGGCGGGUCUCUGGGCAGUAACUGACGCUGAGGAGCGAAAGCGUGGGGAGCGAACAGG